GGGGGCGAUCGGAAUCGACUGGAUCGUUAUACGGAAUGGUGGCGUGUCGUGGUUGAUCAGACGGCCACGUAAAAAUCUGAUCAAACAACAACUGCCAACACUGGCAACUACGCUCUGGCUGCCUAGAGAUAGGUAACCGCGACUGCGAAAGCCCCGCCCAUGGCGUUCAAAAGUCGUUCGCAAAUACGGGCUGGCUGCGGGUCAAUGCGACCUACGCCCGCAGCAAGAUUUGUGGGACGCUGGCACUAGAGAAGCCUUGUCCGGCGAGCUUCGAGGUGUGAGAUUGAUCAACGGACUACACACGUAGAGGCUGUUCCCGCGGCAUCACAGGACGGGGGUUCAAUUCCCCCCGCCUCCAUAG
rfam:Planctopirus limnophila DSM 3776 chromosome, complete genome.